GCAUCGGUGGUUCAGUGGAAGAAUGCUCGCCUGCCACGUGGGCGGCCCGGGUUCGAUUCCCGGCCGAUGCA
rnacentral:tRNA from 1 species